AGUGAACGCUGGCGGUAGGCCUAACACAUGCAAGUCGAACGGCAGCACAGUAAGAGCUUGCUCUUACGGGUGGCGAGUGGCGGACGGGUGAGGAAUACAUCGGAAUCUACUUUUUCGUGGGGGAUAACGUAGGGAAACUUACGCUAAUACCGCAUACGACCUACGGGUGAAAGCAGGGGAUCUUCGGACCUUGCGCGAUUGAAUGAGCCGAUGUCGGAUUAGCUAGUUGGCGGGGUAAAGGUCCACCAAGGCGACGAUCCGUAGCUGGUCUGAGAGGAUGAUCAGCCACACUGGAACUGAGACACGGUCCAGACUCCUACGGGAGGCAGCAGUGGGGAAUAUUGGACAAUGGGCGCAAGCCUGAUCCAGCCAUACCGCGUGGGUGAAGAAGGCCUUCGAGUUGUAAAGCCCUUUUGUUGGGAAAGAAAAGCAGCAGGUUAAUACCCCGCUGUUCUGACGGUACCCAAAGAAUAAGCACCGGCUAACUUCGUG
rnacentral:rRNA from 1 species